UACAGGCUGCAGGGACAGGCGCUCCGAGACCGAGACACUAUGCUCGACAGCGUCCGAAGCAACCAUGGGAGUCGUUCACACUUCCAACUUUAAAGAGUUGCUGCACUGAACGUAGACUUGUUCUUAUUGUUUCGACUCUCCUUUACUCAGGGGACUUUUGUUCGCGUCAAUCCUCAAGCAGGAUGUUGUUACUGACGAGACUCGGAAAGCCCGGCACGAAGAGCAGAAAGUCUCUCUGAUGAGAACCACCUCCUUCUACCCGCCACACAAAGGGAACCACGGAACAAGUUCUUUUCUCCCCCCCCCCCCACGCACCCACGCCAUUUUUUCUUUUUUCUCUUUUUUUGAUGUCAUAGUGGGGGGGCUCUUUGAAAGACAUCAUGGAUCACUUUGCAGCGGAGUGCCUUGUCUCUAUGUCCAGCCGCGCGGUCGUCCACGCUCCGAGGGGCAACAACCGGGAGAUGAAGCCGGAGAACCGGUCGCCUUCCCCCACGAGGAACCCGGAGGACGCCAAAGAACCUGUGGUGAAGGACAACUCCUCUCUGUACGUGGUGGCCAGGAUCCUGGCGGAUUUUAACCAGCAGACUCCCGGCGGCGUGCUCGGCGAGCAGGCGAAGAGCAGGGAGGAGAGCCAGGCCGGCCUGACGGAGGAUGCGAACUGUGCCACACCUACCAUCACCAUCUCGGAUCCGUCGCUCAAACAAAGGGGCAAAAGAUCGAGAGGUCGCAACGAGCCGGAGUCCCCGCAGAAAAAGCACAAAUGCCACUAUUCGGGUUGCGAAAAAGUUUACGGCAAAUCGUCGCACCUCAAGGCGCACUUAAGGACGCACACAGGAGAGCGUCCGUUCCCUUGUACCUGGCCCGACUGCAGUAAGAAGUUCGCCCGCUCCGACGAGCUGGCCCGCCACUACCGCACCCACACGGGAGAAAAGAAGUUCGGCUGCCCACUUUGCGACAAACGCUUCAUGCGAAGCGACCACCUGAUGAAGCACGCCCGGCGCCACUCGGAUUUCCAGCCCGGCAUGCUCAAGAGGCCCCACGGCGGCGGGGUCGGCGGCGGGGCCGGCCACGCCGUGCGUCCCGGCUCCCUCAGCGACUACAGCCGCUCGGACGCCUCCAGCCCCACCCUCAGCCCCGCCCUCAGUCCCGCUCUCAGCCCCGCCAACUCGCCUUAAAGUAAACAUCGCACUUUCUGCCUCCAAUGCGUCGAGGCGUGUGUACUUGUCAUGAUAACACUUGUGUUGUUGCACACUUGUCAGCGGCGACUCCCGUCUUUCCUAAUCCUACGCUUGCUCUGGUGUACCAUACUGUACAGAACUGCUUAUUGUAGUGCAAUGACAUGUGAUCCUAUAAGAAGGUAAUGCCUUUCCCAGAUGGCAAUAUUUACAUUGUCGACCAUAAGUCUCGAUAUUUCUUCUAAUCGUGACUAGUCUGUUUGCAGCAUCUAAACACAACUUAUAAGACAAAAGAUGCCCUGAUGAGUCUUAUCAAAAUGUUUGUCUUUCAUUGUUCUUUUUCCUUUAAAAAAAAAAAAAAAAAAAAAAAACGGGUCAUGAGAAAGGGUACACACACGCACACACUCAAAAAACACACACCUCAGGAUGGAAGACAGUUUCGCUUAAUACCACAAUACUUCACACAAACUGCACAAUAAACUCAACACUUUAAAGUUCAACCGCUGGUUGAAUUUUUCGCCCUGCUCAGGGAUGGCCUUGUUAGCUUGAACGAAUGGAGAGAAACAGUCAGUCCACACACAUACACAGUAUGUCUAUAUAUGUAUAGCAUAUAUAGACAUGUAUAUACAUAUGUAUCAGCCUUACACUCAACACACUAUUGCACUCUUUCUUUUAUUUCAGCUUCACUUCCUCCUUAAUAAGAAUCAUAAAAAAAACAAAAAACAAUUUAAAACCUCUUUCACACAGAGAUGGCGCAAAACGAGAGCCGUAACAGUUAUUCGUCUAUGCCUUCUUACACGAAACCCAACAAAGGGGUGUUCGCCACAACCGUGUGCGUUUUGACAUGUCGCCUCUGUAUCCCACAAUCAGAUAAUUAAAUGUGAGACUUCAGCGCCGGCGCCUGGUGUAAAAUAUUUGUUUGACAGCGACAAUAGCUGAAGCGAACUGUUAUGGCUCUGAUACCACUUUCGGGAAAUUGGAGUGUCAGUCUUUUUUUUUUUUAAAGAACAGCGAUGCAGAAAAAUGUCGGCUUUCAAAGCUACUACCCCUGUUCCUGCAGCAGCCACUCUCUAGGUGGACAUUUAUUGCGGCAAACGCCCAGAAUUGGGUUAUAAAGAUACGUUUCAAAGCAGCUGUUUAAAUAAAUAUGGACACAAAGGGACGGCAAUGUGUAUCCCUCACACAAGCACGUCGGGACAAUAAAGUACCAAGGACUAGAAUUGAAUAAGUGAGGUCCGGGGAUGAUUUGGAGCUUGCAAAUAUCCCACAAGAAGCGUCAGGAAGGUUAGCAUGCCACCCAUCUGGCUCUACCUGUCCUGUCAAGACGUCAAGUCUUGUCUCGAUGCUUUCCUUGCUGUCAGCUUUAAAGGAACUCGGAGGUUAAACAAAGUCCAAAGUGCCGGUGGAGCUAUCUGCAAUGUUCAGACGGGAGAAGGCACGUCCUGAUAAAACAAGAGGAGAGGUUUAUCACGACAUGAGCAGAGGAGGAGACACCCUCGUUUCCUGCUUAUGCAAACGACCCAACCAGGAGGGAACAACAGUACUACUUAGUUUCCCAACCUUUAUUGAGCUGAGGCGCAUGCACUAGUCAAAAAAAAAGGUCGGGAUAUUCGACUUUCGGGUAAAAUUUCAAGAUGAACCUAAAAUGCACUACAACCUUUACAGGUGAUCGUAAGUACUCAAACAUUGAACGGUCGGACAUCAAGUUCAACGGUAAGGUCCAAGUGGAUUUAUUUGGUUCAUCCUAAAAUUUCACCAGAAAGCACAAUAUCUUUUUAUGGGUAGUGGAUGUUAUAUUAGAAAAAUGUCACUCUACACCACCACAAAAGGAAUCUACAGUAUGGGAAGCCUUAACAUUUAAGAGCGAGCCUGCAUAUGUGUUGCAGAUAUCUGUAAUUAAGUUUCGCCUAAUCAAAAACAACAUUUGAGAUAUUCGUAACGACAUUCUUCCUUUCCCCAAUUAGCAUUUCAGAUACCUGCAACGACAUUUGACCUCGGACAAAUGAUGUCAACCGUGCCAUUCAUGUGUAUGGGCGUUGCCAUUACAGAUAUCCACAAUUGAUUUGGAGAUAUCUGCUUUGUGAAUUGCGUAUCUCUGCAACAGAAUUGUAAAUAUCUCUAACUCCAGUUUGAGAUAGCUACGGUUUGAUUCUGACUGGUCAUAAUUUCAUCUUCAAUUCACCCCAGUUCAAGAUAUCCAUAUAUGUUCUCUCCGUAUAUAUAUUACAUCAAAAUUUCACCAGGCAAAAUGAAGUGGUAGAUAUCUGUGACUGGAAUGAUGACGAGUUGGAAUCUAAUUGUAGCUACAGUAUCGCAAAAAGGAGUUAGCGAUAUCUACAGUUCAAAUGCAGAUAUCUGUAAUUGACGCGUGGCUAGUGGCGGCUGAAUAGUCGAUAUCUGUAAUGAGAAACUCCCAUUACACAUGAAUGGCAAAAGUGACAUUGCAGAUAUCUGUAAUUCAGUUUUGACUCAGCAAAAAUGAAUUAGAUGUCUUUGUCAUUACGACUAGUCACAAUUCUGAUGCAGAGAUCUUGAGUGAAAAUUCCAACUAUUCAAAAUGUUAUUAUGAAUAUUCAGAAGGAUGUUGUUGAUAUGUUCAAUGCUAAUUUGGGUCACUCAGAUUUUAAAUGUUGAUUCUGCUGGCCACGCAGUACAGUAUACUGAAAUUAUGACGAUCUAGUCUUUUUUUUUUUUUAUUCACACUUGGUGUGACAGCUGGGCCUCUUGAGUUAACAGCUAUUACUCUGUUGUAUAAGGUGGAUACACAGGUCAGGACAGUUGUCCCUUCUGCCAUCAUGUGCAAGAGCAUUAAUUGUUCUGCCUCUCACUAUAUGUCACUGGCAAAGAUAGAUCAGCUACGAUACAUUAUUUGUAGUCAAUAAAUCCUGAUUUCCCAACCAUGUGGUGUGAUUGCAGAAUUUCCUGUGGCACACUUGUUGAUCUCGAGUGGUUGGAAAUGACUGAGGAUGAAAUCACCUUUGCCACAAGCAAGAGCAGGGACAAAUUUCACACUAUUAAAACAGCUGCUUUCAAACGCCUCUGAGCAAAAGGAAAUAUCAUCGGGCUGUCGUGCCGCCUGCGACGCUCCCGCCCGUGAGAAAGUCCACUUGUGUUUCUAGAAGCACAUACCACAAUAAGUCAGGCAAAAAAAUAACUUCCAUGGAAAUGAGCACCGCUUAUGCAAACUGGUACAGUCUGCAUCCUCGUGCUUGGAAAUACAGAGCCAUCCAUGUUGCUUUGAUCCCAUCGCAUCCAUCCAGACGGUUGCCAUGGCGAGUGGCGUGUACUCUCUUCAGCCCUCUCCCCUGGCGCCACGCGCAUGUUAACAACUCUGGCAGGUGUACACCCAUGAAUGGCGGGCCUUAUCCCCCUCUCGCCCCCGCCCUAGCAGCCAUCUUUCUUUUCAACGAAGCAGCUCUGUCAAAUCCCCCUCAAGACAAAACAUCCCUUAGAUCAGGGAUGCAGCGAUCCCCUUCAACAAAACUAUUUUUCAAGUAGCAGGAUGACACUUUUAGUGAGAGAAACCACUGAGACAAAAUGUUUUCAAUUCUCUCGCAACUUCUUAUUUUACGUUUGAUCCCAGCUACUUCUGCCGUCUAGGAUGAUCAGCCCUCCCAUUAAAAUCCUACCACUGUCGUUUUAUCUACAUGCCGAUUACAUCCCACCAUACGUGUUUGCAUUGAAAGUCGUUAUCACAGAGUACAAGUGCGCGUUAUCUGUACCGUCGCGGCGUGGAAGGGCAAGAGUGAGUGUGUGUGUGUUCAACCACGCCCUCUUUUCUCUGUUGGCAGCUAAUCAUGUCCUCCCUCGCGUCUCUUUGCCACCGCCUGCUCGUCUCAGACGGGGAAGUCCUUUGUCUCCUCACACGAAAGAUACACACCAUACACACGCUAAUCAGAAGGGCAGAAGUCGCAGGAGGUCUGAGAUGUUGCAAGAAGUGGACCCUGAUGACAGCUGACGAACUGAAAACAAGUCAGGCUCUUGACAACACAAGCAAGAGUACCUGCGUCACCCACUCUUGGGCCGCGCUCAUCACCAACAGCCAGAUGGGGCGUGGGCACAGCAGCAACAUCUAGAAGUGUCUAAGCAUGAACUAUAAAUGUAAGGUCCGAGAGGCAGAGGCGCGCUUUCACCCUGUCUAUUAGUGACAGGGGAAAACUUUCGGGCAGGGAAAAAAGGCCCCGGAAUUCCGUGUGUGUGUGUGUGUCUUGUUAUCAUGCUGAGCUCUGGGACAUAAAUACAGACCAAAUUGCAAUGACUGUGAGUUCAUUCUUUGGUUAUCUUUCAUUGGAAAAGCAACGAACACGCAGCGGAAGUUGUGGUGUUCAAUAAGGGUAAGGAUUAGACGCACACUUCCAACAAUGGAUGGAGUAAAUUGAGUUCUGGAAUGACUUAAACUCAAAAGUCAAGCUGCCACAGUAUUCGAUGUAUGUCAUUUUUGAAACCAUCAACUGAAAGUCUUCAGAAGUGGUCUGAUCCGGUUCUGAACCAAAGUCAACAUCUGUGUGCAAGGCUUGUAAAAAAUAUGAUCCAAAAUACUCCUAAUAUUCCUAAAAAAAAAAGUGCAGGUCAAAGUGUAUCAGACAGCACGGAGUAGCAGUGAAAGAGCACAAUGGAAUUAAAGGCGAAUCCAAACAGCUUGACUCCAUUCACUGCAUGGAGAACGAGGGGGGUGGGGUGUCCAGGGGGGUUCACAAGGGCCCCGCGUUGAAGCUGGAACCGCUUCACACUUCAGUUCAUAUGCUAACACACACACACAUGCUUUGUUCCUGGCCCCGUGUUGGACCCCCUCAGUGGGGGCAUGCUUGUUACACCAGAACUAGACCAGGACCUCUGCGGGUACAUUUGAAGGCCAUGGCGGCCACUUUCCAACAGGAAGUGCCACUCUGAUGUCAUCAAAUAUACAAACCCCAAUUCCACUGAAGUUGGGCCAUCAUGGUCACUGGUCAAUGAAAAGCACAUACUGUAUCUCCAAAUUACUGUCUGGGGGAAAAAAUUGCAUACCUCGAAAUAUUUGGGAGAGGAUGAAAGGACAAAACUUGUAGAAUAGUAGGAAAAUCUAUGAAUGUAUAUAUUUUCAUCCCCCGCCGCCAAAAUACCUAAACAUGAGACUUCUUCUGUUUUUUUAUGCAAAAGUAUGAUGAACCUCUCCCCCAAAAAUCUAACUGUCCAUUGGUUGAACAGUGACAACGUAUCUAUUAAACGAGGACCGAUACCAGUAUUAGUCUUAGUAUCGGGCCGAUACCGGCCUUAUUUCAAAGUAUCUGGUUCUCGUGAAAUCUGACAUUGAGUAACUCCUCCUCGCCAGUACUUGGCGCUACACUGCGGUGGUUUGACGUAUCUGCGAAUCAUCAUGUGCGUCACAAAGAAAGGUCCAUCCAUCCAUCCAUCCCUUUUUUUACACCGCUUAUCCUCAGAAAGAAAGGUCUUUGUUCACAAUUAUGUCAUUGUGUUAACUGAAAUUGUAUGUAUCAAAUCUCCUACAUAUCAAACAUCCCUGUUGGAAUACAGCUCUGGGAAAAUGUAACUAUCGGCGAAUUUGCUCUUUCAAUGUACGUUUGAGUGGACAUUUUGCUUUUAUUCUAAAAAAUAAAUAAAUAGAGUACAUAGGUACAGAGAAUGGAUACUUGAAUGAAAAAUGGUCAAAAUACUCAAAAACAUUUCGUUUUUCUGGGGUGGGGUGGUUCUCAAUAUUUUAAUAU